AUUGAACGCUGGCGGCAUGCCUUACACAUGCAAGUCGAACGGUAACAGGUCUUCGGAUGCUGACGAGUGGCGAACGGGUGAGUAAUACAUCGGAACGUGCCUAGUAGUGGGGGAUAACUACUCGAAAGAGUGGCUAAUACCGCAUGAGAUCUACGGAUGAAAGCAGGGGGUCGCAAGACCUUGUGCUACUAGAGCGGCCGAUGGCAGAUUAGGUAGUUGGUGGGAUAAAAGCUUACCAAGCCGACGAUCUGUAGCUGGUCUGAGAGGACGAUCAGCCACACUGGGACUGAGAAACGGCCCAGACUCCUACGGGAGGCAGCAGUGGGGAAUUUUGGACAAUGGGCGCAAGCCUGAUCCAGCAAUGCCGCGUGCAGGAUGAAGGCCUUCAGGUUGUAAACUGCUUUUGUACGGAACGAAAAGCCCCGGGUUAAUACCCUGGGGUCAUGACGGUACCGUAAGAAUAAGCACCGGCUAACUACGUGCCAGCAGCCGCAGUAA
rnacentral:rRNA from 1 species